GGAGCAGUACUCAAGCGGCUGAAGAGGACGGUUUGCUAAAUCGUUAGAGGGGGCAACCCCUGCCAGGGUUCAAAUCCCUGCUGCUCCGCCA
rnacentral:tRNA from 1 species